GAUGAACGCUGACAGAAUGCUUAACACAUGCAAGUCCACUUGAACUUCGGUUUGGGUGGCGGACGGGUGAGUAACGCGUAAAGAACUUGCCUCACAGCUAGGGACAACAUUUGGAAACGAAUGCUAAUACCUGAUAUUAUGAUUAUAUGGCAUCGUAUAAUUAUGAAAGCUAUAUGCGCUGUGAGAGAGCUUUGCGUCCCAUUAGCUAGUUGGAGAGGUAACAGCUCACCAAGGCGAUGAUGGGUAGCCGGCCUGAGAGGGUGAUCGGCCACAAGGGGACUGAGACACGGCCCUUACUCCUACGGGAGGCAGCAGUGGGGAAUAUUGGACAAUGGACCGAGAGUCUGAUCCAGCAAUUCUGUGUGCACGAUGAAGUUUUUCGGAAUGUAAAGUGCUUUCAGUUGGGAAGAAAAAAAUGACUGUACCAACAGAAGAAGUGACGGCUAAAUACGUG
rnacentral:rRNA from 1 species